GUUAGGGCUCAGAGUCAAAAUUGUGACUCUUCACGUUCCUUCCUCCCUCUCUUACCCUCAUAUCUCCCUCCUUGCUUGCGAUUUCCGGCGGAAACACCACCGCCUUCGCCGCCGCGAAACGACCUUGCUAUAAAUCCAGGGGCUGGUGGUAAUGAAUAGUGCUGGGCUGCUAUUGAAUAUGUAGCAGCACGGUGAUUCAUCCAUGAUGGAAGCAACCCCUUUUAUAGGUGAUGAACUCUUGGAGAUUAGAAGAAGAUAAGUCUAGAAGGGACAAAUGGUGAAAACGGUUUGGCAUGAGAAUUUGCAAAGGUUUGAAAGCAACAUACACGAUGACCAAAAAGCUUGAAUGUUAGGGAAAAUAAGCUUAGUGUAGUUGGUGUCUUGUUUUACAAAAUGGAUGUUCUUCAUGUAAUGAUACAGGGGUGUUGAAAUGUAAGUUGUAAUGAUACAGUGAUGUAAUGUGAUGAAUGGAUAUCAAAAUGGUCCCCGUUUUUCUUUACUAAUUCAAUUUGUUGUAUAGUUUUCUAUGUAACGGUAUGGAUGUAUCGAAUAUGUAUUAAACACGGAUAUGGGGUAAUGGAUGAAUAUUGUAAUGAAGUUCUUUUCUUUCACAUGAAUGUAACUCUUAUUCUCUUC